rnacentral:rRNA from 1 species
GCAAGCGUUGUUCGGAAUUACUGGGCGUAAAGGGCUCGUAGGUGGCCAACUAAGUCAGACGUGAAAUCCCUCGGCUUAACCGGGGAACUGCGUCUGAUACUGGAAGGCUUGAAUCCGGGAGAGGGAUGCGGAAUUCCAGGUGUAGCGAUGAAAUGCGUAGAUAUCUGGAGGAACACCGGUGGCGAAGGCGGCAGCCUGGACCGGCAUGGACGCUGAGGCGCGAAAGCCAGGGGAGCAAACGGG